UACGUAGGGUGCAAGCGUUGUCCGGAAUUAUUGGGCGUAAAGAGCUCGUAGGCGGUUCGUCGCGUCGGCUGUGAAAUCCCGGAGCUCAACUCCGGGUCUGCAGUCGAUACGGGCGGACUCGAGUUCGGCAGGGGAGACUGGAAUUCCUGGUGUAGCGGUGAAAUGCGCAGAUAUCAGGAGGAACACCGGUGGCGAAGGCGGGUCUCUGGGCCGAUACUGACGCUGAGGAGCGAAAGCGUGGGGAGCGAACCGG
rnacentral:rRNA from 1 species